rnacentral:lncRNA from 1 species
AUAAUCAUCGUAACAGUGAACUUCUCAUUGUCUUGGACAAUUUCCUCUGGGUUCAUGUUUCUGGGCCUCAGAGAUCAUCCUCCAGAUUGAAAUGCUCGCUCUCUUCCUCUUUCCUGAGACCCCACGUAUUCAUUUUGCUACUAUAGUUUGCACGUUUUCCAUCAGCUAAUGAUGGAUUCACGGUGGGUGUUGCUAGUUUUCCUUAUCUCAUGAUCAUCUUGGGCAGGAGAGACAUUCCUGCCCUAGAAGAAAGUUGUUCAAACCCAGUCCUAGAAUUCCAGAGUCUUCGAGCUGUGAGGAACCUUAGAAUCUGCCCUCCACACCCAGCAUCCUCUUGCCACAACACCUGCAGCUUGGGCCACACUCUCGGAUCCCAGGUUUGGGCCACUGAGCCACCCCAGUGGAAAUACUUCCCCGUGCCAGGCCCAGCAGCUGACGGGUGUGGAGGCACCAACCAAGCAGACAGUCGCCCCAGGGGCAGCCCCUGACAUGGCCAAAGCAGGUGCUGCCCACUACCAUUUUGUUUUUUGGGUUUUUUUUUGAGAAAGAUUAGCCCUGAGCUAACUACUGCCAAUCCUCUUUUUGCUGAGGAAGACUGUUCCUGAGCUAACAUCCGUGCCCAUCUUCCUCUAAUUUAUACGUGGGACGCCUACCACAGCAUAGCGUGCCAAGCGGUGCCAUGUCCGCACCCGGGAUCCGAAUCAGCAAACCCGGGCCGCAGAGAAGCAGAACGUCUUAACCGCUGCACCACCUGGCCACCCUGCCCACUACUGUUAACAUGCAGAGACAGGUGCCACUUCUGAGCAUUUGCGUGGCGCCCGUUGAGCCAUCUCCCAGUGGUUUGGUGAUCCCACCUCCUCCUCCUGACGGCCUCUCGAGGCCACUGUGGGCAGCCUCUGCUCAGCGGCGAGGAACCGAGGCUGGGAGAGCUGGGCCUGACCUGUGCCAGAGCUGCCAACCCCUUGGAGGAGGUGACAGGGGACAUCUGGCAGGUGCAGAGAUGGAGAAACCAGAACCCACCUGUUCUCUGGGAGCCCAAGCAAGGGACGCAAGGGAACCAGCUACAGAAUAAUUAUAAUGCCUCCCAAGCUCAACGAUUCCCAAGGUGUGGAGGGCACACGUGUGUAAAAUGGGAAGUGGUAUUGGAGCACAUGUGGACAUGGCAUAAAUAACACUGAAUCACAAAGGACAGAGUCACGCCCUUUUCAAUGAUCUUUUAACCCUUCAGAUAAAGCACAGAGAAUGUCUCAGUUUGGUGCUAACAGGUCUUUAACACCUUUCUUGAAUCCCACCUCCUCUAAAAGGAAAAAAGAAGAUAGAGACCCAAGUCUCCAGCUGUAAUAAUAUUGAGCCAGAAAUUGGAAACAUUGCUUUCAUUGUAU